AAAUAAUAAAAAAUUACUUAAUUUUUUAAGAAUAAAAAAAAAUAUAAUAAAAAUAAUUUUAAUAAUAUAGUUUUUGUAAAAGUUUGAUAAAAUAAUAUUAGUUAAAGUGAAAUAGUAUAGUAAUAGAAUUUUGAAAUAAAUUAAAUUAGUUUAAAAGUAAUUUUAAUUUAAUGUACCUUUUGUAUCAGGGUUUAUUAAAAAAAAGUUAUAAAAUAAUAAUAUUCUCGAAUUUAAAAGAGUUAAAAUUUUAUAAAAUUUAUUGUAUUAAAAAUAUUUUAAAUAAAAUUUUAGUAAUGAUAUGUUAGUCGUUUUUAAAUAUAUCUAGUUUUUUAAGAAUUGAAUUUAAUUCAUAUAUUUAUAAAAAUAAAAAUUUAUUUAAUAAGUUUAAUUAUUUGUAAAUAUAAAAAAAUUUAGGGAUUAGCUUAAAUUUUUUUUUUAUAAAAAAUAAUAUAAAUAAAAAAAAUAAUAGGAUUAGAAAUUUUCAUUUAAAAAUAAAAUGUUAUAAUUAAUUUUAUAAAAAUUUUUAUUUAUAAAAUUUUAAUUUAUAUAUUAAAAUAAAUUUUGUAAUGAUUAUAAAUUUGAAAAAAUGAUAAAAUUAGUAUUAAUUUUUUUAAAAGUAAAAAAAAAAAUAUAGAUAAAAAUAAGGAAUUCAGCAAAAUAAUAUUCACCUGUUUAUCAAAAACAUGUCUUUUUGAAUAUAAUUUAAAGUCUAACCUGCCCACUGAUAGAAAUAUUAAAGGGCCGCGGUAUUUUGACUGUGCAAAGGUAGCAUAAUCAUUUGUCUUUUAAUUGAAGGCUGGAAUGAAUGGUUGGAUGAAAUAUUAACUGUCUCAUUUUUAAAAAGAUAAAAAUUUAGCUUUUUAGUUAAAAGGCUAAAAUUAAUUUAAAGGACGAGAAGACCCUAUAGAUCUUUAUAAUAAAAAUUUUAUGAUAAAAUAGUUUUAAAUAAUAUUAUAAGAUAAAUUAUUAUUUUGUUGGGGUGAUGGGAAAAUUAAAUAAACUUUUUUUAAUUAAUUAACAUAAAUUAAUGAAUUUAUGAUCCAAUUUUAUUGAUUAAAAGAUUAAGUUACCUUAGGGAUAACAGCGUAAUUUUUUUGGAGAGUUCAUAUCGAUAAAAAAGAUUGCGACCUCGAUGUUGAAUUAAAGGUUAUUUCUAGAUGUAGGAGUUUAGAGUUUAGGUCUGUUCGACCUUUGAAUCUUUACAUGAUUUGAGUUCAGACCGGCGUAAGCCAGGUCGGUUUCUAUCCUUAAUAAAAGAAUAUAUUUUAGUACGAAAGGACCAAAUAUAAAAAAUAUUUUUUUAAGAAAAUUGAAUAAUAAUAAAAAU
rnacentral:rRNA from 1 species